rnacentral:rRNA from 1 species
UACGUAGGGUGCGAGCGUUGUCCGGAAUUACUGGGCGUAAAGAGCUCGUAGGUGGUUUGUCGCGUUGUUCGUGAAAUCUCACGGCUUAACUGUGAGCGUGCGGGCGAUACGGGCAGACUUGAGUACUGCAGGGGAGACUGGAAUUCCUGGUGUAGCGGUGGAAUGCGCAGAUAUCAGGAAGAACACCAAUGGCGAAGGCAGCUCUCUGGGACGGUACUGACACUGAGACGCGAAAGCGUGGGGAGCGAACAGG